GUGCCAGCAGCCGCGGUAAUACGGAGGAGGCAAGCGUUAUCCGGAAUUAUUGGGCGUAAAGCGUCCGCAGGUGGCUCGCUCAAGUCUGCUGUCAAAGACCGGGGCUUAACUCCGGAAAGGCAGUGGAAACUGACAAGCUAGAGGGCUCUAGGGGUAGAGGGAAUUCCCGGUGUAGCGGUGAAAUGCGUAGAGAUCGGGAAGAACACCGGUGGCGAAAGCGCUCUGCUAGGCCGAAACUGACACUGAGGGACGAAAGCUAGGGGAGCGAAUGGGAUUAGAUACCCCAGUAGUCCGAGCCGUAAACGAUGGAUACUAGGCGUGGCUCGUAUCGACCCGAGCCGUGCCGUAGCUAACGCGUUAAGUAUCCCGCCUGGGGAGUACGCACGCAAGUGUGAAACUUAAAUGAAUUGGCGGGG
rnacentral:rRNA from 1 species